rnacentral:rRNA from 1 species
UACAGAGGGUGCAAGCGUUAAUCGGAGUUACUGGGCGUAAAGGGCGCGUAGGCGGUUAUGUAAGUGAGAUGUGAAAUCCCUGGGCUUAACCUAGGAAUUGCAUUUCAAACUGUAUAGCUAGAGUGCAGUAGAGGGUGGUGGAAUUUCCGGUGUAGCGGUGAAAUGCGUAGAGAUCGGAAGGAACAUCAGUGGCGAAGGCGGCCACCUGGACUGUAACUGACGCUGAGGCGCGAGAGCGUGGGGAGCAAACAGG